UCCCUACGGGAGGCAGCAGUGGGGAAUAUUGGGCAAUGGGCGCAAGCCUGAACCAGCAACGCCGCGUGAAGGAAGAAGGCUUUCGGGUUGUAAACUUCUUUUCUCAGGGACGAAGAAAGUGACGGUACCUGAGGAAUAAGCCACGGCUAACUACGUGCCAGCAGCCGCGGUAAUACGUAGGGAGCGAGCGUUGUCCGGAUUUACUGGGUGUAAAGGGUGCGUAGGCGGCCCUGCAAGUCAGAAGUGAAAUCCAUGGGCUUAACCCGUGAACUGCUUUUGAAACUGCAGGACUUGAGUGGAGUAGG
rnacentral:rRNA from 1 species